rnacentral:snRNA from 1 species
AUCGCUUCUUCGGCCUUUUGGCUAAGAUCAAGUGUAGUAUCUGUUCUUAUCAGUUUAAUAUCUGAUACGUCCCCUAUCUGGGGACCAUAUAUUAAAUGGAUUUUUGGAACAGGGAGAUGGAAGAAGAGCUUGCUCUGUCCACUCCACGCAUCGACCUGGUAUUGCAGUAACCUCCAGGACCGGUGCACCUCUC